rnacentral:rRNA from 1 species
GGAAGUAAAAGUCGUAACAAGGUCUCCGUUGGUGAACCAGCGGAGGGAUCAUUACCGAGUUUACAACUCCCAAACCCCUGUGAACAUACCUAUACGUUGCCUCGGCGGAUCAGCCCGCGCCCCGUAAAACGGGACGGCCCGCCCGAGGACCCCUAAACUCUGUUUUUAGUGGAACUUCUGAGUAAAACAAACAAAUAAAUCAAAACUUUCAACAACGGAUCUCUUGGUUCUGGCAUCGAUGAAGAACGCAGCAAAAUGCGAUAAGUAAUGUGAAUUGCAGAAUUCAGUGAAUCAUCGAAUCUUUGAACGCACAUUGCGCCCGCCAGUAUUCUGGCGGGCAUGCCUGUUCGAGCGUCAUUUCAACCCUCAAGCUCAGCUUGGUGUUGGGACUCGCGGUAACCCGCGUUCCCCAAAUCGAUUGGCGGUCACGUCGAGCUUCCAUAGCGUAGUAAUCAUACACCUCGUUACUGGUAAUCGUCGCGGCCACGCCGUAAAACCCCAACUUCUGAAUGUUGACCUCGGAUCAGGUAGGAAUACCCGCUGAACUUAAGCAUAUCAAUAAGCGGAGGA